rnacentral:lncRNA from 1 species
CAGGCGUGGGUCAUGUGAGGGCUGCUUAAAUGAUUAGAUAGGACCACUUUGUAAUUAGCUCAUUAAUUAUGUGAAUGUGAAUGGUGGCACUUAGCCGUUGAAAACAGCCUGUUCUCAAAAUAGGUUAAGCAGCCUCCGCUAAUCUUCUUUCAAUAGUACAUUUAUUUAUGGGUCUCUGCCUUCUUGGAACCGAAGCUCAGGAUCCUCUUAAUCCAUCUUGACUAUACUUCAUGAACGGACCCCUCCUAACUAUGGUUGUGUGUCUCCCUGGGACAUAGGGCUCUUUUCAGGUUACCAGUAUCGGCAAGAUCAGAAGAAAAGAUGCUGAAAUUGAAAGCAGAGACAUGUUCAGUGCAAACCCGUCGCCCAAGGAGCUGACCGAUCCUUGGGCAGGUGCAACAGGGUGGAGCCUGGCAGAGACACGGGGCUCAUCCCUAGGACAGGCUUCUGUGGCAAUGAGGCUGUGUCCCGUGUGUGACUCUGGUCUUGGACGGCAGGUCUCGGGGCCUUUCAGGUAACCGAGGUUCACCAAAGGUGACUGCAAACGCCUAUAAAACCAUUGGAAUGAAUCGCUGCGCAUUCAGAACAUUCUCUUGGAAUCCAUGCUUCUCUGUUUGGCCCAAAGUUUUCUUAAAUAAACUCAUGACUAAAAUAUAGAUUCAAGAAGGUGCAUCUGGAUGGCAUUUUCAAGAACGGAUCACAGCUCUGUGGUCACCACCCACAUCCAGACCAGGGCAUAGCAGCUGCCCGUAAAACCUCCUCGUGCCCGUUCGAGCCCCAGCCUCUUCCUUCUCCGAAGGUGACCAGGCUUCCAGCACCUCCCACUAGAUGUGCUUGGCCUUGAACCUGUGUGAAUGGAAGCUUCUAGGACCUGCUCUUCCUGGGCCUGGCUUGUGUUGGUGAGAUCUGCCACGUGGGUGUCUGUAGCCCAUGACUGCGGUUGCCCCGCAGGUGACUGACAAUCUCUAGAGACAUUGUGGGUUGUCACAACUGGGGAGAGAGGUGCUUCUGCAUCUGGCACGUUAGAGCCCAGAGAUGGCACUCAAUAU